GGAGGAACAUGUAUUGCUUCCUGCUCCUUAUGUGACAGACUGUAAAAAUUAUACAGAGGAAUAUCUGAAAAACAAUUUUACCGGGCCAUCAUCUAAAUCGUCAUGUCUAAUGUUAUGUGGAAUACAACCUUACGUGAAAGCUUGUGGCUGUGCUCCUUCCUCCGCUAUUCCAGAGAGGAACAUUAUUGAAAGAUAUCUUAUCUGCGAAAAAGAAGUUGAACAAAACUGCACGAAGGAAAUGCGCGUUGACUUUAAGAAAAUAGAAGAGUGUUACGUCAAUUGCAAAGAUGAUUGUGUGAAACGAAUUUAUCGAGCAGAAGUCGCUAAUGUGCUUGAGGU